rnacentral:rRNA from 1 species
CCUACGGGAGGCAGCAGUGAGGAAUAUUGGUCAAUGGGAGAGAUCCUGAACCAGCCAAGCCGCGUGAGGGAAGACGGCCCUAUGGGUUGUAAACCUCUUUUGUCGGAGAACAAAACCCGGGACGUGUCCCGGACUGCGUGUAUCCGACGAAAAAGCAUCGGCUAACUCCGUGCCAGCAGCCGCGGUAAUACGGAGGAUGCGAGCGUUAUCCGGAUUUGUUGGGUUUAAAGGGUGCGUAGGCGGUCCGUUAAGUCAGCGGGAAAAUUGAGGGGCUCAACCCCGUCGAGCCGUUGAAACUGGCAGACUUGAGUUGGCGAGAAGUACGCGGAAUGCGCGGUGUAGCGGUGAAAUGCAUAGAUAUCGCGCAGAACUCCGAUUGCGAAGGCAGCGUACCGGAGCCAGACUGACGCUGAGGCACGAAAGCGUGGGGAUCGAACAGGAUUAGAUACCCUGGUAGUC